CGGCGAGUGAAGCGGCAACAGCUCAAAUUUGAAAUCUGGCCCUUGUGGUCCGAGUUGUAAUUUGUAGAGGAUGCUUUUGGUGAGGUACCUUCCGAGUUCCCUGGAACGGGACGCCAUAGAGGGUGAGAGCCCCGUCUGGUUGGAUACCGAUCCUCUGUAAAGCUCCUUCGACGAGUCGAGUAGUUUGGGAAUGCUGCUCUAAAUGGGAGGUAUAUGUCUUCUAAAGCUAAAUAUUGGCCAGAGACCGAUAGCGCACAAGUAGAGUGAUCGAAAGAUGAAAAGCACUUUGAAAAGAGGGUUAAAUAGUACGUGAAAUUGUUGAAAGGGAAGCGCUUGUGACCAGACUUGGGCUUGGUUAAUCAUCCAGGGUUCUCCCUGGUGCACUUGGCCAGCCCAGGCCAGCAUCAGUUUGUCGCGGGGGAUAAAGGCGUUGGGAAUGUGGCUCCCUCGGGAGUGUUAUAGCCCUUCGUGUAAUACCCUGCUUUAGACUGAGGUUCGCGCAUCUGCAAGGAUGCUGGCGUAAUGGUCAUCAGCGACCCGUCUUGAAACACGGACCAAGGAGUCGUCUUCGUAUGCGAGUGUUCGGGUGUCAAACCCCUACGCGUAAUGAAAGUGAACGCAGGUGAGAGCUUCGGCGCAUCAUCGACCGAUCCUGAUGUUCUCGGAUGGAUUUGAGUAAGAGCAUACGGGGCCGGACCCGAAAGAAGGUGAACUAUGCCUGUGUAGGGUGAAGCCAGAGGAAACUCUGGUGGAGGCUCGCAGCGGUUCUGACGUGCAAAUCGAUCGUCAAAC
rnacentral:rRNA from 1 species